UGCAGGCUCGCUCGCUCGGCGAAUUCCUGUUACCGGGGGGAUCGCAUUCCAGGAUGCCGCCCACUCUGGAAUGCGGUUCCCCCCGCGCUGACGCACCCUGCCCCUCUCCGUCCGCACCGAGGAUCUCAUUGUUCGGUGGUGCACCGUCGUCGCCGGCCAUCCUCGUGUACCGCCGCCCGCACUGGUCUCUCUUCCCAGCCACUGACACCGACUGCACUGCCGGCUAGAUAAUUCCUCCCUGUUCGGUCCAAGCCUCGAUAGUUUACUCAAAACAUCGCAACCGUGGUGUUCGAGUCUCCCUGGUCCGGUGAAUCGCACGCCCGAAGCGCCGGGUUAACGAGCGCUGCACUCGAAAAACUUUUGGCUCGCCUGCCUGCCUGCCCUGCCGGACGACGUAACGCUCUCUACUUUCCCGCGGCCAUUUCCGAAGCCGAACCUCUACCCGCACCCCACCGCUCUGCCCGGCCGUAUCCCUACCAUCUCUUUGAUGUUUCCCACCGUUCCACUACCAUCCCGUUCCCUUCCGUCGGUACAUUACUCUCCAUAGACCAACACAUGCUACCGUAGACGAUCCACACAGGGACACAGCUUCUAUGGAUCAUUCACGUUUCCUCCCCACCACCGUGCACCAGCGUAUCCCGGCACGCGGUCUACACCAUCGCACAGUGUACGCCGCAACACCAUACGAACUCGCCCGGCUACACCUACACAGCUUCUCUUACCUGGCUGAACUAUCUCCUUUAGUUUUUCUCUUUCUUCAACGUCUCUCGGUUCUCUUUCCUCCUUUCUCUCUCUCUCUCUCUUUCUCGCUUCGCUCUCCGAGGCGCCGUCGAUAACCUUCCCCUCUCACUUCCCUGAUAGGCCGCUCUUGCGCACGUGCACGGCCACAGCCACGAAUACCUGUGUGCGCUCUGAGAAUCGAACGAACGGAAUUUUCGAUGGAACGCAGGAGUUCGUUCGGGAUCGCGGUUUCCCAGGAUGUAUGAUCGUCGAUAGGUUAUUCGUUUUACAGACUGUCAUCACGCGAGCUGAACGGAAAGGAAUGCGAAAUUUAGAAAAACCUCUAAAGUAAUAAUUAAUCGCCGAAACGGAAAUCUGAUUGGUCGGCGAACGUCUCUCGAAAUUGCUCUUCGAAAUUGUCCAUUAGCCUGUAAAUGGUAUCGAAAAACUCUGGAGUUUCUUUCUAGUUGUUAUUACGCAACGCCGAUUAGUGGUCCCUUCCAGGAGGGUUUUUAAUUCGAAAGUGGUUCAGCGAUAGCAAGAAGUUGUAACGCUCGGUGCGGCUGUGUCUGUGUGCUUGGUGAAAGCACGUCACGGUUGCUGACCCAAAGGUGACGUAGAGGGACUGUCGGAGAUGACGAUAGUGUUCCAGUCAUUGACACACGAUUGUAAUCGCGUUCCUGGACAAGGAUUCGAGCCCGCGAGCCAAAAAAGUAUUAUACGUAUCUCAGUUUUGGCACGCAGUAAAUUUGAUCGACAACCGUUAUCGUGAACCGUUGUCGAAAAGGUAGAUAAGUUAUUAAUUUUUUUUUUUAUUAACGCCGAGCAACGUUUGGAUUGUGGGAAGAGCCGGAGAUAAAAAGGCAUGGGAAGCUCACGAGCAAAGCGUUCGCGGCUCGUGCGUUCACAUGGAGCGAAUACGAAUCCCGUUCGCGAUACCAUAGAAUGCAGUGGUACACCAGCGAUGUAUUUCCAAGAAGGAAUUAUUAUGUUGAAACUGGUCGGCGUGCACGCCGGCUGACUCUGAUCGCCGGCGCGCGACCGUGCCUGCUCCUUUCUGCCUGUGCAACCUUCAAAGGCCACAGAAUGCGUCGAUGAAUGAAGUAGGAAAGUUGCAGAGUGUCCGCUGACCGGAUAUGUAUACUAGUCGCACGGCGAAGUUCCAGGGAAGCAGAAGCUGCGGACGCAGCGUUUAACGACACUACUCGUUACUCGAGGCAGUUUACCUUUCUAUACCAAACGUGGAUAAAACCAUGGCGCGUGAGACGUUAAAGUCUGGCAGCCGGACAUGGAUAAAUUGACAAUGUGACUCACGUGUAAAUGACAUCUAAUUGGGUCAUUAUCUCGCAAGUCGCUUCUUAAACUGGCCAGAGACGCAAUAAGAAGGAAGGCUCCGCGGAUAGCGACGUGAAACGCCUAGCUACAACUAAUUCCUUGAUAGACAAGCGUUAAGAAAAAUUCAAACAACGCGACCGUAUCGCAUUCUAGCAUUCCGCACGACUGUCAUUAAAGCGGAGGAGACACCCGCUCAACCCCGUAAUGCAAUUAUGGAGACCAAUGUAUAGAUUAACAAGAGAACGCAUAAGAAUGGAAAAGAUUCAAGAGAUGAAACGUCAAUGAAUAUCGUCGAAUAAAUAUUAUUAUAUAAUAUUAUAUUAUAUAAUA